AUGCCAUGAUCUUCAUUUUCUGAAUGUUGAGCUUUAAGCCAACUUUAAUACAAGCAGUAUAUAAAAACUACCCUCAAGUUCAACCAAUCUUCAAGUGAUAAUUCUAGGAGGCUCAGUUCCUAUUUACUGUUUCCCAAGGUCUACUGCAUUUCUCAAGUGCUUUCUGAAUGCCAAGUUCUUUGCUGGGCCCUUUACAUUCUAAUACAACAUGGUAUUGGCUCUAUUUUAUAAUUGAAGAAACUGAGCCUUGGAAGAUUAUGGACUUGCUAAUCAUGACACAUGGCACAGAGUGUUCAAUAAAUUAUUAGUACUGCUGCUUUCAUGAUGAUAAGUACAGGGAAAAUAUGUUUUCUAAGGUGAUUUCAUGAAAUAGAAUUAAGUAUAACAGUGGACCCUUAAUUCACUGAAUUAUGUAGGGGACUUAUUGUACAUCUUAGGAGGAUUUCUGAGAGUACAGAAGAAGUUCUCUCUGCUCCUGACACCAGUAAGUCUUGAGUGUCACUUGACUUAUGCUCUUUCCCAGCUUGUGCCAGCAAGCCCUCUCUGUGCCUACAGACAGCUCUCCAUUCACUGCAGGUGUGCAGGUAGGAACAGAGCAGUUCUGACUCAUCGUUAGGCAGUUCCAACCUGGUGCAAUUUGCCCCUCUUCACCCCGUCACCAAGUUAAUGGGUUGUAUUAACAGCGAUAUUUAUGGACAACAAACUGAACUCCAAGCGCAGCUAUGCCUGUGCGUUUGGGAAGGCCCCCGUUCACUGCGGCUCUCACACUACAGUGCUGCCGUUUCCUGGUGGCCCUAAUCCCAGUGUGCUUGCCAGAUGGUACAUGUGUUUCUUCUCCCUUUUGUGUAAGAAAUUUUUGGCUACAGUGAUCGAAGGAAGAAAGGGUAAUAAAAGAAUGUAUAUGAUAUUUUUCUUGGAUGUUUUACAGUUAUUAUGUAUGUCUUAUCACACUUAGAAUAAAAUAAAUGAUUCCUAUGGCCUACAGUGUUCUUCAUGAUCAGACCCUACCCCCAAGACACACACACAUGCCCUAAUUCCCACGUCUCUUUCCUUUGGUCACCUGGCUCUUGGCACUGUGGCCUCUUCUUGCUCCUGGGAGACACUUGGCAGUGUCCACCUCAGGACCUUUGCACUUGUUUCCCAGAUGCCUGGAACUCUCUUCCUUUACCUAGCCUUGUGACUGACUCCUCCUCUUAGUCCUGGUCUCUGCUUAGAUGUUAACUAAAUAAAGAGACCUUCCCUGUCAUCCUAUCCCAAAUAGCACCUUUAGUCACUUUUUUAUCUUUUAUCCUGCUUUGUGUUCCUUCUUAGCACUCAGCUAUUUGAUGCAAUGUUGUCCGCUUGCUUGUUAACUUCUACUCAAGUCUAUCCACACACGCGCGCAGAAGUUCCGUGAGGGUAGGGUUUCAUCGACCUUGUUCAUUGCUCCAUGUAGCCCCAGUGCCUAGAACAAAGCCAGGCCCAUAAUAAGUACACUAUAAACAGUGGUUGAAGAAAUGAUUGUAUGUGAAGUUAGACUAACUUUUAAGGUAUGAUAAAUACUCCUAAAAGUCCUAUAUAUCCAUUGUUAGCUGGCCUCACAGAAAAUUACAAACAGUAGCUUCAAUUUUUGUCUGGAAGUUAUUGUGAAAGGAGUAGCCUCUAAAAAACGCUCCUUCCUUUGAUGUGAAAGGAAAGAAUUUGACACAGGUAAGAACACAGAUAGGAACACAAAUAGGAAAAGGAGUACGUUAAGGCUGUAUAUGGUCACCCUGCCUAUUUAACUUAUAUGCAGAGUACAUCAUGA
ensembl:lncRNA